GGAAAAUAUACAAUGUUUCUUCUGAAACACCAACUGUUGCUUUUAAUUAAAUCGUUUUGUUCCCUGUACAUGUAGGAUAUUCUUUUGUUCCAGGAAGACUUUAAGGGAUUACUGCCAGAUUUCGUUCUUCUCAUGAUGUUGAGAUCCAAUAUUAAUUAUCUACUUCACUUACUUUAACGGUAAUCGCACUGUAUAAAAAGAGACCGCUUAGCGUUUCUUGUUACAUCAUACCACAAAGGCAUCCGGUCCGAAUUUUGGAGUAGUUUGAUCUCCUACCAUGUUGUAAUAAUUCCCACAUGUCCCUUCCUUCACAACAAAUAAU